GCGUGAGUGAUGAAGGCCUUCGGGUUGUAAAGCUCUUUUGUCCGGGAAGAUAAUGACUGUACCGGAAGAAUAAGCCCCGGCAAACUUCGUGCCAGCAGCCGCGGUAAUACGAAGGGGGCUAGCGUUGUUCGGAAUCACUGGGCGUAAAGCGCACGUAGGCGGUCUGUUAAGUCAGAGGUGAAAGCCUGGAGCUCAACUCCAGAACUGCCUUUGAUACUGGCUGACUUGAGUAUGACAGAGGUUGGUGGAACUCCGAGUGUAGAGGUGAAAUUCGU
rnacentral:rRNA from 1 species